CUAAGUGCUCUCUGCAUGUCAUUGGCUCACACUGUUGGAACCUAGCCUCUAUCUGAGACUCUUGGGGGCAGAUUCUCUCUCAUCAUGGUUUCCAGGGUGCCAUCACCAGUGCAGAUCUUUCCUGUCAUUGUCAGACUCAUUUACCUCAUUGCACCCAACAGCUACCUGGACAUCCAGGAGGUACCUCAAACUCCCUAUCUAACACAGAACCCUUGGUCUCCAUUUAGGUCAGCUCUCUCUGACCUGAAUUCCUCAUCUCCGAAAAUGACACAUCUCUGUAUACAAUUUGUGCAGCCUAGAAUCCUAGAAUCACACACAUCACCUCUUUCCUAAUCCUCCACCUCAAGUCAAUUAACACCUUGUUUUUGAAUCUAACUUACCUCCAGCUCCCUCAAGUUGGUAUAGAAGCUUUCCCUCCCCCUCCCCCAGCUCACAUACUGCUUUUUUUUCCACAUACACACCAGAUUAAAUUCCCAAAAUGAAGGCUGUUAUCAGACAUCAGACUACCAACUGCCAUUUGCCUCUUCUUUAGCAGCUUCCCAUCCAGUCAGAGUAAAAAUUUUCAGUGUCCGUGGCUGGCCUCUGUGUGACUUGCACAUCAGGUGCCUUUGCUUAGGUCCUUCUCUUAAUAAGGGUACUCUGCAGGUUUGUGUAUUGAUUCCUGCUGUAACUUAGGUCACCUUUCUGAUGUCACUUCCUGAGAGUCUACCACUCCUAAAGUUUUCCCCUCCACUCAAAUUAUUCUGUUACUAUUUUCCUUACAGCCAUUAUCAGUAUCAAGAAAUAGAAUUGCCCAGGUGUUGUUAUGCACUGUCCUUCAUGAGAACUUCAGCUCCACAGGAGCAGGAUAGAGGUCAUAUCAUUCAGUGUCCUACUUCAGCACCCACUUAGCACACUAGGCACAUAGUUUGCUCCAAAUGUUUACUACAUGGAAGUGGGCAGGGGCCUGUCUGUGAGGGGGCUCACCCCUUAGUGCUGGGCAGCUCUAUAAAAGAACUACAUUCCAGGAACAGUUCAAGAGGCCCAAAAAUGAAUGAUGGGUGUCCUACCAAUGGCAAUUGCUCCACCAAGGCAACAAGACUGGGCUUUGUUGGUUCUGUGUAUGACCUGUUGGCUCCAGAACCCUGGCUAAAGCCCAAAGGACACUUAAGAACAGCCCGGAGAUUGCAAAGCCCAGGACAAGGAGUUGGGGUGCCUUGGCUCUUGCUGGCUUGAUCAUUGCUAGGCUACAUAAAUACUAUCCUCUGGAGACUCUCUUCCUCAGCUGUGAAGGACCAGGCUACCAGUCCCUAAGGCCAGGCUGUGACUGCCGGAACUACCCAGGCCUUACCCUCAAUUUUUUUCUCCUUUACAGUCAUAAAAUCCAAGUGACCCUCUUAUUGGGGGGGGGGUCACAGGAAUCCUUCUGCAGGAGACAAGGCAUGUCUUCAAGACCAUCACCAAAGAAGACAACCUGAAAGGGACCAGUCAAUUCCCAGUUAGCCACAGACCUUUUAUAUGUAGAAACAAAGAGGUAUUAUAUGGCCUUGAGAAAUUAUUAUUUCUAUAUAAAUCAUUCAGGAUUAUAAUCUGGUUGUAUGCAAAGAUUAGAACUACAAGGAACUAAGAAUGGUAAUAGAUGAAAAUGUCACUGCCCUAGAAAAAUCUGUUAGCUAAUAGUUCUUAGUUCCCAAUACACUUGAGCCCCAGGACAGAUAGGACUCAUGAUUGAGUCCUGUCAUUGGUACUUGUGAAGCGGGGGCUAUGGGACAGUUUCCAUGACAGGCUUAAUAAAAACCAGCUAAAAGUAGGCCUGAGUUUACUGGCAGGCAUCACCUGGAUCCAGGAAAAGCUAUAAGCUGACCCCACCCAGAGAGGGCUAGCAACUAAGGGGAAAUACCUCAAAACAACCUCAAUACUAUAAGAAGGGAGGCACGAUAAAAAGAAUGCCCAUGUGUCUGAGGCCAGCAUGAGAUACAUCGUGAGCUUCUGAAAAACGGGCUACACAGACUUGCCUAUCUCAGGAAAACAAAAGACAAGAAGGAGAGAAAACAUCCAGAGGUAGACAAGUCUGGGCAGCAAAUAGCAACAAGUUUGAAAGAGGUAACAUGUGCAGCAAGGCUCACCAUCAGCCCCUCAAGUGCUUGCUUCUACCAGCAGCAUCCAAUUACAAGCAUCUUCACGAUGAACAGAAGACCACUGCUUCUGCAAGUUCACCAUGAUACUGCCCACUACUUUAAGGAUACAGGGCCAUGCUGGCCCAAGAAUCAAACCCUACCAAAAAGGGAUGAAAAGCAGGGAAGUGAGAUAUGAGUCCUGCCUGGGGAAACACAGACUAAGGAAGGCCUCUAGGAGAAGACACCAAAAGAAAAGAUUCUUGGAGUUCAUCAUCCAAGGUGAACGCAUCACACUCAGCCCUGUCUUUCAACACAGUCACAAAGGAGCCCUUUGAUCUCUUCCUUGGGUCAUGGACAGAUGCUGACAGCUCAUAAAAAAGAUCAACUGAAAUGGUUUCUCAUCCAAGUUUCCUCCACCUAGGUGUUCCUCUCCUUCCUGUCCAAGGCUACUGACUCUAUAUACAGUGAAUGCUGAUAGGACACUUUCAGCUGGAAGAUGACACCUCAUAGGAUCACUAGAUACAGCUUAUUAUAAGUAGCAAUGCCAAUACCCUGGACAGACCUCAUGGGAAGGGGUACUUUCAUACCAGGAUUGCCUCCAUUCACUAGUCCACACCUCAGCUUCCAUGACUACUGUUGGUCUCCUGGCAUCCUCUCCGACCAAUUCCAACUUUUAGCUCAGAAUCCAACCUUCCCAUUGGCUGCUGCCCCAUUUAUGACAUCAUUUCCCCUCCAACCCCACCACCACCUGGUACUUCUUGGGAUUUCCAUGGUGAUGCCUGUAAACAAAUUUGGAUCAUCACAGGUCACCUGUGCCCAGUCACCAGUAAGUGCUGUCUGAUACCAGACACACUUGCCACUCAGGUCAGCUGAUCAGACAAGAACAACCAAUUCUCUUGCUCCAUUGUACUGUGGAUUGCUGAUACUCUCUCUCCAACCAUGGCAGAAAAUUUCCAAACUGCGCCUGCCUUUCUUUGGGACAGAAUGUGCUCUGCAGCCCCCUGUGCCUGUGCUGAGGAAUGCCACGCCCUUAGCAGGAAGUGUGUGCAACUUCUCCAGGGUCUCCACCCCAGCUGUGAGUUCAGCAUGGCUCCUGCCAUCAGACUCCAGCACUUGUUGCCAGCAGCUCAUGGACAGUGCCUACCCCUACCUACCAGCUGGCAUGACCAUGGUGACUGCAUUGACUGACCAGGGACAGAAGCCUACAUUGGCACUCUCCUAUCCAGGUGUUCUCCAGUGGGAUCCCAUGGGAAGCACUGACAGGAGGGGAGCUGUGUGGUGAUAUUGUAUUUGUGCUGAAAUGUGAUAUUUUAUUUGUAUGUUAAUAAAUGAAGUUUGCCUGGAGAUCAGAGGUCAUAGACAGCCAUAAACAGAAGUCAGGCAGUGGUGGCACAUGCCCUUAAUCUGAUCACAAGCAGACAGUCUCUAUGAGUUCAAGGACACAGCCAAGCAUGGUGGCACAUGCCUUUAAUCCCACUACCAACCAUAGAGACCUGGAGGUCUGUAUAUAGAGGCAGUGAUGAGGAAGUGAGGUGGCUGGGUUAAGAGCCAAUGAAAAGGCAAAACAGCAAGGCAAUAAAGGUAGAGGUUACACAGGAAAAGGAUCUCUUGGGAAGCUAUGGCAACGUGGUGAGCUAAGGUUAGUUGGUGGCUAUCACUCUGAUCUCUAUGGAUUUUACCCCUGUA